rnacentral:rRNA from 1 species
CUGGCGGCGUGCUUAACACAUGCAAGUCGAACGAAGAGCGAUGGAAGCUUGCUUCUAUCAAUCUUAGUGGCGAACGGGUGAGUAACGCGUAAUCAACCUGCCCUUCAGAGGGGGACAACAGUUGGAAACGACUGCUAAUACCGCAUACGAUCUAAUCUCGGCAUCGAGGAUGGAUGAAAGGUGGCCUCUAUUUAUAAGCUAUCACUGAAGGAGGGGAUUGCGUCUGAUUAGCUAGUUGGAGGGGUAACGGCCCACCAAGGCGAUGAUCAGUAGCCGGUCUGAGAGGAUGAACGGCCACAUUGGGACUGAGACACGGCCCAGACUCCUACGGGAGGCAGCAGUGGGGAAUCUUCCGCAAUGGACGAAAGUCUGACGGAGCAACGCCGCGUGAGUGAUGACGGCCUUCGGGUUGUAAAGCUCUGUUAAUCGGGACGAAAGGCCUUCUUGCGAAUAGUUAGAAGGAUUGACGGUACCGGAAUAG